UCAGACUUGAAGUCCUUGUGCCUCUGGUU
rnacentral:piRNA from 1 species